GACGAACGCUGGCGGCGUGCUUAACACAUGCCAGUCGAACGGAAAGGCCCUGCUUUUGUGGGGUGCUCGAGUGGCGAACGGGUGAGUAACACGUGAGUAACCUGCCCUUGACUUUGGGAUAACUUCAGGGAACUGGGGCUAAUACCGGAUAGGAGCUCCUGCUGCAUGGUGGGGGUUGGAAAGUUUCGGCGGUUGGGGAUGGACUCGCGGCUUAUCAGCUUGUUGGUGGGGUAGUGGCUUACCAAGGCUUUGACGGGUAGCCGGCCUGAGAGGGUGACCGGCCACAUUGGGACUGAGAUACGGCCCAGACUCCUACGGGAGGCAGCAGUGGGGAAUAUUGCACAAUGGGCGGAAGCCUGAUGCAGCAACGCCGCGUGCGGGAUGACGGCCUUCGGGUUGUAAACCGCUUUCGCCUGUGACGAAGCGUGAGUGACGGCAAUGGGUAAAGAAGCACCGGCUAACUACGUG
rnacentral:rRNA from 1 species